UUCCGGUUGAUCCUGCCGGACCCGACUGCUAUUUGGGUGAGGAUAAGCCAUGCGAGUCGUAUGGGAUACCUAAAUUUCCCAUGGCAAACUGCUCAGUAACACAUGAUCAACUUACCCUAUGGAGAAAAAUAACCUCGGGAAACUGAGGAUAAUGUUCCAUAGUUGAAAAGGCUUGGAAAAGUUUUUCAAUGAAAGGGAUAAGGAAAAUGGUUCUUAUCCGCCAUAGGAUAGGAUCGUGGUCGAUUAUGGUUGUUGGUGAGGUAACGGCUCACCAAGCCGAUAAUCGAUAGGGGCCGUGAGAGCGGGAGCCCCGAGAUGGGUACUGAGACAACGACCCAGGCCUUACGAGGCGCAGCAGGCGCGGAACCUCCGCAAUAUACGAAAGUGUGACGGGGUUACCCAAAGUGUCCUUCUUAGGACUGUGGUAGAUGAGUAAUGUUCUCUACUAGAAAGGAGAGGGCAAGGCUGGUGCCAGCCGCCGCGGUAAAACCAGCUCUUCAAGUGGUCGGGAUAAUUAUUGGGCUUAAAGUGUCCGUAGCCGGUUUAGUAAGUUCCUGGUAAAAUCGGGUAGCUUAACUAUCUGUGUGCUAGGAAUACUGCUAUACUAGAGGGCGGGAGAGGUCUGAGGUACUACAGGGGUAGGGGUGAAAUCUUAUAAUCCCGGGAGGACCACCAGUGGCGAAGGCUGUCGGCUAGCACGCGCCUGACGGUGAGGGACGAAAGCUGGGGGAGCGAACCGGAUUAGAUACCCGGGUAGUCCCUGCUGUAAACGAUGCGAGCUAGGUGUUGGGGGCGGCUACGAGCCGCUUCAGUGCCGCAGCGAAGCGUUAAGCUCGCCGCCUGGGGAGUACGGCCGCAAGGCUGAAACUUAAAGGAAUUGGCGGGGGAGCACCACAGCGUGAGCUGCGUUCAUGGAUCACGCCG
rnacentral:rRNA from 1 species